GUUCAAUGCCUUGGACAAGGUAUGAAAACAUUAGAUAUUUCACGAAAACUUAAGCGUGAUCAUCGCACUAUUAAGAGAUUUGUGCCUAUUUCAGAGCACAGAAGGGGUCGUGUAGAUAAAGGAACAUUAAGGAAGAUUUCUGCCAGAUCCAUGCAUCGGAUUAAGAGAGCAGCUGCUAAAAUACCAUUACAUAGCAGCAAACAGAUAUUUGAAGCAUCAAGGUGUAGAGUCCUCCAGAGUCUUACAACUGUGCAUAAACCUUCUAUUCGGCCACCACUAACCAAUGCUCACAAGCAGAAAUGGCUGCAUUGGGCAGAAAAAUACAUGCAGACUAAUUUUCAAACAGUCCUGUUCAGUGAUGAGUGCAGUGCAACCCUGGAUGGUCCAGAUGGAUGGAGUAGUGGAUGGUUGGUGGACGGCCACCCUGUUCCAACAAGGCUGCGACGUCAGCAAGGCGGUGGUGGAGUCAUGUUUUGGGCCGGAAUCAUGGGAAGAGAGCUGGUCGGCCCAUUUAGGGUCCCCAAAGGUGUAAAGAUGACCUCUGCAAAGUAUGUGGAGUUUCUGACUGACCACUUACUUCCCUGGUACAGAAGGAAGAACUAUGCUUUCCGUAAUAAAAUCAUCUUUAUGCAUGACAAUGCACCAUCUCAUGCUGCAAAGAAUACCUCUGCAUCAAUGGCUGCUAUGGGGAUAAAAGGAGAGAAAGUCAUGGUGUGGCCAUUCAUCCUCCACUGAUCUCAAUCCUAUUGAGAACCUUUGGAGCAUCCUCAAGCAAAAGAUCUAUGAGGGUGGGAGGCAGUUUAUAUCCAAACAGCAGCUCUGGGAGGCUAUUCCGACAUUCAAGCAGAAACUGUCUAAAAACUCACAAGUUCAAUGGAUGCAAGACCUGUGAAUCUGCUAUCAAAUAAGGGGUCCUAUGUUAAAAUGUAACGUGACCUGUUAAAAUGUUUAAAAAGUUAAAAUGUUGUUAUAAGUUUGAUUGAAAUAGCUUUCGAUUUCAGUAAAUAUGCUGCAAACACAACAAAUGACAAUUUUCA